rnacentral:rRNA from 1 species
AAGUCGUAACAAGGUUUCCGUAGGUGAACCUGCGGAAGGAUCAUUACCGAGUUCAUGCCCUUCGGGGUAGAUCUCCCACCCUUUGUUUACUAUACUAUGUUGCUUUGGCGGACCGCCUGAUCGCCCCUCGGGGUCUUCAGCUACCGGCUUCGGCUGGUACGUGUCCGCCAGAGGACCCAAAACCCUGAAUAUUAGUGUCGUCUGAGUAAAAAGUUUAAUAUUUAAAACUUUCAACAACGGAUCUCUUGGCUCUGGCAUCGAUGAAGAACGCAGCGAAAUGCGAUAAGUAAUGUGAAUUGCAGAAUUCAGUGAAUCAUCGAAUCUUUGAACGCACAUUGCGCCCCUUGGUAUUCCGAGGGGCAUGCCUAUUCGAGCGUCAUUAUCACCCCUCAAGCCUAGCUUGGUGUUGAGACCUGCUGUCAAGGCAGUCUCUAAAAUCAGUGGCAGUGCUGUCAGGCUCUAAGCGUAGUAAAUUCAUCGCUAUAGGGUCCUGGUGGAUACUCGUCAGAACCCCCCCAUUUUUUAAUGAUUGACCUCGGAUUAGGUAGGGAUACCCGCUGAACUUAA